rnacentral:lncRNA from 7 species
AAACACCUGAUAGGAGAUGACUCAGCAGCAAAAUCCCACCAGGAGAUGGUCUGUUAUACCACAGUAAGACACUAAAAUCACAUAGGUUACAGCUUCUCAAAAAUUAAAUUAAACAGAAGUCAAAAUUCCUACGAUGGAAUAACUAUUGGCUCCCACAGCGCCUGAGCUCCCAGGAAGGUUUUCAGAGAAACAAAACUAACUCAGAGCUCAGUUCCUUGGGAAGGCACCAAACAGAUACCCAGGGUUCUUUUUUUUGGAAGUUGAGCAAGAUCCUAUGAAUUAGGUAUUCUCUCUUCAGAGGAAAAAGGACCACAUGAAAGACUUUGCAUAUUCUCCUGCCAGUCCUUUGGGAGUUGGAAAAAACAGAAAACGGCCGAUUCAGUUCCACCUUAAUCCUUUAAGCAGCACUAAAAGGGCCUCCAAGCAGUCAAGCAUCUUUUUUUUGACACUGAAGAGCCAAUACUGUGCUUUGAAGAGGAAAAGAAAAAAGUGAUGUCUUUGGCAGUGACUGGGAUGGGUCCCAGCACCCUCAGCACUAUGAGGUUUCUGUCAUAGAGAGGAGGGCUGGUGGGGAACAAACAGGAGGGCAGUGAGGGAAGAGCAGAGCUUAUGGGAAGGGAACAAGAACCAUACGCUGUUCUUGGACAGUGUUUUGUAAAGAUCUAAUCCCAUCUUCUGAUGAGACAGUGCUAUAGAAGCAGAACAAGCAAAGAACACACCUCAAAGAUAAGAGGAAGCCUUCCCUCCCACCUCCACACAAUGCUUACCAAGGUGCAGCUGAGAUGUCCAGUGCUGGCAGUCUAUCCCCUGCAGAGCUGUGCCACGAAGCCCUGCCACUCAUAGGGCC